GGUCUUGUCCCCGGCCGACCUUCCUUUCCCUUCACCCCCCCCCCUCCCCGCCCGUGACCGGCGGCCGCGUUCUCACGACGCUCCUGUGCAGAGACAAGGCUAAUGGUGUUCUUCCAUUCGCUUCUUGCGAACUAGAGAAAGAGAGAGAGAGAGAGAGAGAGAGAGAGAGAGAGAAAGAAGAAGAAGAAGAGGAGGAGGAAGAAGAAGCAUUGCUUUACACAUCUGGCAUGGGUGCUCUUAAAAUGUACUGAUUAUACAACUGCAGCUGGCUCGCAGGGAAGUGGUGUCAUCUGUGGAUUUAGAAAGGAGAUGGGACAAGACAGUGAAGAUAGCUAACAAGUGAGUCUCUUUGAGCCUUUUUUGUUUUAAAUCAGGCAUCUUAACUGAAUUCCCUGAUUUGUUAAAUAAUAAACAAGCAUACAAGA